rnacentral:sRNA from 1 species
AGUCUACAAAACCCCACAUCCCCUGAGAAUUCUCUCGCCUGCCUUAGGCACUUAGGCUCCGGGAGAUUGCAAAUAACCUGCUUUCUUUCUGUUCCCGGGCUGCGUUCGGACUCCUGUCAGAUAGUAAAUCCUAAGUAAGGUGGCGUCGGACCCCUGUCAGAGAGUAAAUCUCAAGUAAGGUACCUGCCAUCGGCAGAUGGGAGCUUUCUUCUUGGACACCUAAUACCCACAGUCCUCCAGGCUCCGGUAGACUGCAAAUGACCUGCUUUCUUUCUGUUCCCGGGCUGCGUUUGGACCCCUGUCGGAUAGUAAAUCCCAAGUAAGGUACCUGCCCUCGGCAGAUUUGAGCUUUCUUCUUGGACACCUAAUACCCACAGUCCUCCAGGCUCCGGUAGACUGCAAAUGACCUGCUUUCUUUCUGUUCCCGGGCUGCGUUUGGACCCCUGUCGGACAGUAAAUCCCAAGUAAGGUACCUGCCCUCGGCAGAUUUGAGCUUUCUUCUUGGACACCUAAUACCCACAGUCCUCCAGGCUGUAGAUGAAGGGGUUCAGCAUGGAGGUGAUCACCGUGUACAUCACUGAGGCCACUGCAGCCUUUCUCGGGGAAGAUGACACAUCUGAACUGAGGUACCCUCCAAAGCCUGUUCCGUAAAAUCAGCAAACAACUGACAGGAUAACUUCAGGAAGUGGGUAUUAAUUCUCACGGUAUAAGUGAAGACAUUAAGCACCAGAGUUUAAGUAGCUUGAUCCACUGAAAGAGAUUCAACUGUGUGGAACCUAUGCCGUGGAGAAUUGCUUUCUGCCAUUGUUAUCGUCCAGCAGUUGCCGAAUAGCUCUGACCUGAGCAAAGCAGUGAAACGCGGUGCUGUUGAGUGGGUUGCCACUGCACCUUUUUCAACUACUCUAGUCUUGUGGAGAAAAUACCCCUUCUAAAUUUUUUCUUCAUUGAAUACUCUCCCUCAGCUCCAGAGUACCAUAUAGAGUUUUCUUGUAUUUUAGAGUUACUGUUUUAUCAAAGUUUACCAGUCUUUUGUAUUACAUUUCUCCUGUCUAAAUCGACUGUGUGGUUUCUACUCAUUAUGGAUAUAGAUUGAUACAAACUCAAUAAAUAUUUUUGAAUGAAUAA